ACUCCUACGGGAGGCAGCAGUGGGGAAUUUUGGACAAUGGGCGCAAGCCUGAUCCAGCCAUGCCGCGUGCGGGAAGAAGGCCUUCGGGUUGUAAACCGCUUUUGUCAGGGAAGAAAUCUUCUGAGUUAAUACCUCGGGAGGAUGACGGUACCUGAAGAAUAAGCACCGGCUAACUACGUGCCAGCAGCCGCGGUAAU
rnacentral:rRNA from 1 species